rnacentral:rRNA from 1 species
UGGGGAAUAUUGGACAAUGGGCGCAAGCCUGAUCCAGCCAUACCGCGUGGGUGAAGAAGGCCUUCGGGUUGUAAAGCCCUUUUGUUGGGAAAGAAAAGCAGCCGGUUAAUACCCGGUUGUUCUGACGGUACCCAAAGAAUAAGCACCGGCUAACUUCGUGCCAGCAGCCGCGGUAAUACGAAGGGUGCAAGCGUUACUCGGAAUUACUGGGCGUAAAGCGUGCGUAGGUGGUUGUUUAAGGUUGUCGUGAAAGCCCUGGGCUCAACCUGGGAAUGGCGAUGGAAACUGGGCGACUAGAGUAUGGCAGAGGGUAGUGGAAUUCCUGGGGUAGCAGUGAAAUGCGUAGAGAUCAGGAGGAACAUCCGUGGCGAAGGCGACUGCCUGGGCCAGCACUGACACUGAGGCACGAAAGCGUGGGGAGCAAACA